GCCCCUGGGAGGCCCGCGACGUUCGCCUCCAGUGGCGCCUCCUCAAGGUGACCCCUCCGCUCCAUCCACUCCCUCCUCUUUAUCCUAGGAUUUCGAUCGGCUCCUCACUGAUGCUACUGACUAGCGUGUGCUCACGGAGAUGUCAGGCGGAUGAGAACUGGAGGAUGUGGGAGGCGACGUGCAUGGCCCUAUGGCGCUCCGACGAUGACCGGAUGUUCCCCGGUAAGAGGAGCAUUUCCUCAGUUGCUACUCUGCUUGCUACUAGCAGCGCAUAUCACCUAAUCUUUACAUAAUCAGGUUGCUACCGACUGCUACCCUUGUCUGCUGCACUGAAUAUAGAACACCUAAUUCCCUAAAGAGUGAAAAUGAGGAUCUAAAGAUUUUAUACAAGUGUGAGCUGGAAAACGAGGAGCUUAAGGUACGUUACCGAAACAUGAGUUGCGUCCCAGCUUGUGCAUCCUGUCAGUUUUCUUAAAUCAUAUUCUGUGUGCCCAUGCCUGCUUCUUAUACUGUUAGAUAAGAGCCAACGACCGGGAGGAGGAGGAGGACGCACGGCAGCGUCAGAAUCAGCGCGUCGGAUCCGGCCGAGGCUUACGUCGACACGGAUGCGGAGGCUCUAGCUGCAGCCGCCGCGCUCUAUGCCCCGCCCCUGCUCGCCGAGCCCUGCCUCUCUGGAUCUCCAGCAAU
rnacentral:lncRNA from 1 species